CCCGCUGAACUUAAGCAUAUCAAUAAAGCGGAGGAAAAGAAACUAACAAGGAUUCCCCUAGUAACUGCGAGUGAAGCGGGAAAAGCUCAAAUUUAAAAUCUGGUGGUCUUUGGCCAUCCGAGUUGUAAUUUAGAGAAGCGUCUUCCGCGCUGGACCAUGCAUAAGUCUCCUGGAAUGGAGCGUCAUAGAGGGUGAGAAUCCCGUCUUUGGCAUGGACCCCCAGGGCUUCUGUGAUGCGCUCUNCAAGAGUCGAGUUGUUUGGGAAUGCAGCUCANAAUGGGUGGUGAACUCCAUCUAAAGCUAAAUAUUGGCGAGAGACCGAUAGCGAACAAGUACCGUGAGGGAAAGAUGAAAAGCACUUUGAAAAGAGAGUGAAACAGUACGUGAAAUUUGUUGAAAGGGAAACGCUUGAAGUCAGUCGCGUCGACCGAGACUCAGCCUCGCCUUGGCUUGGUGUACUUCUCGGCUGACGGGUCAGCAUCAAUUUCGAUCCUUGGAUAAUGGCAAGGGAAAGGUAGCACCCUUUACAGGUGUGUUAUAGUCCUUUGUCGGAUGCAAGGGUUGGGAUUGAGGAACUCAGCACGCACCUCAUCGGUGUCGGGGCCUUUUGGCCUACGUUACGUGCUUAGGAUGCUGGCAUAAUGGCUUUAAACGACCCGUCUUGAAACACGG
rnacentral:rRNA from 1 species